GAUGAACGCUGGCGGCGUGCCUAACACAUGCAAGUCGAACGAACGACUUUUAACAGAAGCCUUCGGGUGGAAGAUGGAAGAAGUUAGUGGCGAACGGGUGAGUAACACGUGAGUAAUUUACCUAAAGGACAGGGAUAACAUUUGGAAACGGAUGCUAAUACCUGAUGAGAUUUAGUGCUGUAAGGGUAUUAAAUGAAAGGAGGCCUCUCUAAAGAAGCUCCCGCCUGUAGAUGAGCUUGCGUCUGAUUAGCUAGUUGGAGGAGUAAGAGACUACCAAGGCGACGAUCAGUAGCCGGCCUGAGAGGGUGAACGGCCACACUGGGACUGAGACACGGCCCAGACUCCUACGGGAGGCAGCAGUGGGGAAUAUUGCGCAAUGGGGGGAACCCUGACGCAGCAACGCCGCGUGAGUGAAGAAGGUUUUCGGAUCGUAAAGCUCUGUCAAAGUGAAGAAGGCUUAUGACUUAAUAGGUUAUGAGAUGACGGUAGCUAUAGAGGAAGCUCCGGCUAACUACGUGCCAGCAGCCGCAGUAA
rnacentral:rRNA from 1 species